GGCGAACGCUGGCGGCAGGCCUAACACAUGCAAGUCGAACGAACCCUUUGGGGUUAGUGGCGGACGGGUGAGUAACACGUGGGAACGUGCCUUUAGGUUCGGAAUAACUCAGGGAAACUUGUGCUAAUACCGAAUGUGCCCUUCGGGGGAGAGAUUUAUCCCCUUUAGAGCGGCCCGCGUCUGAUUAGCUAGUUGGUGAGGGAAUGGCUCACCAAGGCUACGAUCAGGAGCUGGUCUGAGAGGACGACCAGCCACAUUGGGACUGGGACACGGCCCAAACUCCUACGGGAGGCAGCAGUGGGGAAUCUUGCGCAAUGGGCGAAAACCUGACGCAGCCAUGCCGCGUGGAUGAUGAAGGUCUUAGGAUUGUAAAAUCCUUUCACCGGUGAAGAUAAUGACUGUAGCCGGAGAAGAAGCCCCGGCUAACUUCGUGCCAGCCGCCGCGGUAAUAC
rnacentral:rRNA from 1 species